UACGUAGGGUGCAAGCGUUGUCCGGAAUUAUUGGGCGUAAAGAGCUCGUAGGCGGUUCGUCGCGUCGGCUGUGAAAACCCGGAGCUCAACUCCGGGCCUGCAGUCGAUACGGGCGGACUCGAGUUCGGCAGGGGAGACUGGAAUUCCUGGUGUAGCGGUGAAAUGCGCAGAUAUCAGGAGGAACACCAGUGGCGAAGGCAGGAUCUCUG
rnacentral:rRNA from 1 species